CGAAUACAUUAGCAUUCUAAAUAUUCCUUAACCACUAAAGUAAUUGCAUCAAAAGUUAAAAAUCUCACAAGAUAACAGCAGUUCUGAUGGGUCCUGAUAAAUUUCACUAUGCUUUUAAGAAAGAAUAUUCUAGUCUUAUAUAAACACUUCUAGAGAAUAGGAAAAAAAAAGACGGUCGUUAGGUAAUUUUUACAAAAAAGGAGACAAUUAUGAAACAGACUUGCUUUAUGAAUAGAGAUGCAAAAUGCUCAAAGUAAAUAUUUUAAAAUCUAAUCCAGUGAUGAACAAAAAAGAUAUUACAACAUGAGUAAGUUGGUUUCAUAACAGGAAUGCCAAGUUAGUUUAAUUUGGAAAGUUGCUUAAAUAUAAUUUAAUCUAACAUUUGCAUUAACAGAUUAAAGGAGAAAAUUCACAUAAUCAUCUAAAUAAAUGCAUUUAAUAUAACUUAACCUUUGUGUAUGAUAAAAACUUUCAAUACUAGGAACAGAAGAGGACUUUAAAAAUCUAAUAAAAGGCACUCAAAAGAAAAAAGUCAUACUUAAAGGUGAUGUGUAAAGCAUUCUUUAUAGCAACAUUACAAGGAUGUCCAUUAUCAUUAGCACUGUAGAUUUUAGCUCCCAUAUAAAGGCAAAGAGAAGAAAUAGUAGGUAAUAAGGCCUGGAGAGGAACAAACAAAAGUUUUACUGUUUGUUGAGAAUGAUUAUUUAUUUAAAAGAUAUCCUAAGAGGAGUUCCCGCUGUGGCUCAGUGGAACAAAUCUGACUAGUAUCCAUCAGGAUGUGGGUUCAAUCUUUGGCCUUGUUCAGUGGGUUAAAGAUCUGGUGUUGCCAUGAGCUGUGGUAUAGGUCACGGACGUUGCUUGGAUCCUGUGUUGCUGUGGCUGUGGUGUAGGCUGGCAGCUGCAACUUCAAUUCGACCCCUGGCCUGAGAACUUCCAUAUGCCAUGAGUGCAGCUAUAAAUAUCAAAAAGAAAAAAGAAAGAAAGAAAAGAGAAAAGACAUAAAUUAAGCCAAAGAUUAGUCAAAGUGACCAAUGGAACAUGAUAGUGGGUCCAGAAGUUGACUUACACACAUAUUACAACACACUUUAAGACCAAUUGGAUGUUGAAAAACAAUGGUAAAGGAGAAUCUAUUCAAUAGACAAUUCAAGAACCCUUAACAACAGAAGGAAAAAAAAUUAGAUCCUUAUUUCAAAUUCUACACAGAAAUCAAAUUUGAGUGCAAGUGGACCCAAAGGCCUAAAUGUAAAAAACAAACUUUAAAACAAAGUUAUAGAAGUAUUUAUUAAACAGGACAAAAAGAAGAAUUAAGAAUUUCUGUUCAUCAAAGCACCAGAAAAAUAAACUGCAAAUGGGAGAAGACAUGUGCAAUACACAUAGCCAACAGAGAAUGAGUAUCCAGACAUAUGACAAAAUUGAAUCAUAAAUGUACUAAAUACAUGUGAAAAUAUAUUUAUUACUAUAUUAGUUAUUUAGAAAAUACAAAUUAAAAUUUUAAGAUGCUAUUUCACACCUAUCAGAUGGCAAAACUUAAAAAAAAAGUGGGAGGUGGGCAAUACCAAGUGUCAGAUAAAUAGCAGAGCAAUGAAAAUUUUUAUUUCCUGGUGGUAGGAGUAUAAUUUGAUAGAAUGAUUUUGUACAACAGACUGAAUUUACCAUAUAAUAGUUGAUCCCAUACAGACUACGAUCUUGCAAUUCCUAUGUAAAACUACAUUAUAGUACUUCUCAAACUAUCCACUGAACAGUCAUUUGUAUAUUUUAAAAUUUCAAAUCUGUCACAGAUUAAUACUGUGUAAAAUUCAAUAAAAAUGAGUUAUGAGGUAACUGGUCCUGUAUUUGGAUGAAAGUCAUGUGCUAUGAGAGUUUUUAAACAUUCUUAAUUUCUAGAUUUAUUCUGUCACAGACCAGAGACAAGUUGCAGAUCAGUAAUGGUCCAUGGAAAAUUUAGGAGAGCAUUAUGUUCAGUGAUAAUGGAAAUGUAUAUCUGAGCUUGAAAGACUAAAAUCAAAGUGUUCUGACCACAAUGGAAAGUUUUAAGAAACCCAGAGCAGAAGAAAAUUUGUAAAAUUCACAAAUAUGUGGAAAUCAAAUAACACACUUCUAAAUAAUCUAUAGGUCAAAAAGGAACUCACAAGAAAAAUUAGAAAAUACUUGAAGAUAAAGAUAAUGAGAAAGCAUAACAUGAAAACAUAUGUAGUGAAAGUAGUGUUAAGAGGAAAACUUAUAGCUAUAAAUGCCCACUUUAGAAAAGAGAAAAAAAGACCACAAAUUAAUAACAUAAGCUUCACUUUAUGAGGCUAGAAAAAGUAAACUAAAUCCAAAGCAUAAAGAAAGGAAUAAAGAUUAAAGCAGAGAUAAAGAAGAGGAAAGUAAAAGAGAAAAACUAAUAAAACCAAAAGGUGGUUAUCUGAAAAGAUCAACAAA
rnacentral:lncRNA from 1 species